rnacentral:rRNA from 1 species
UACGAAGGGGGCUAGCGUUGUUCGGAAUUACUGGGCGUAAAGGGCGCGUAGGCGGCUUCGAUAGUCAGGCGUGAAAGGCCUGGGCUCAACCCAGGAACUGCGCUUGAUACUGUGAGGCUAGAGUGUGGGAGAGGAUGGUGGAAUUCCCAGUGUAGAGGUGAAAUUCGUAGAUAUUGGGAAGAACACCGGUGGCGAAGGCGACCAUCUGGACCACUACUGACGCUGAGGCGCGAAAGCGUGGGGAGCAAACAGG